rnacentral:lncRNA from 1 species
CUGGCAUCAAUGUCCCUGGCAAGGCAGGACAUUCAUUCUCCUGAGCUGGCUCCAGAAGAAGCACUGCAGGGGCCUGAGGAGUGACCAGCUCUUCCCUAAGCACACAUAGGCAAAGAGCCCUAAGAUAGGGGGCACUGAUUAGCUGCCACUGUAUUUCCUUCUCAGACCACUUGCUGGCAGUAUUUCCUAAUAUCGGAACCCCAUUCAGGGGUGUCAAACAUGAUCGAUCAAGGCUGACAACAGCACACUGCCACGAGGGGCUGGAAACAGAACUGCGUUUUUACUACACCUACAGCAUCACGGGAGACAGGUGUUGGUUCUGCCCAGGCAAGGUGUGACCAAAGACAGGGCCCCAUCAGUCCCGCCUGGGCCUCACCUGAAGACAACUCCUCAGCUAGGAUCCUUUCCUCGGGGAGCCCGGCUGGUGGCUGCUCCACUUGGAGCUGCUCCAGCCCCAGGUCUGGAUCCCUCCUCCCCGUCUCCUCUGGCUCCAUUUCUCUGCUCUUGCUGGGCAGCCUGAUCCCAUACCUCCAAGUCCAAAGCACAAGCUCAGCACCUGCUGUGCCACACUGGCAAAGGUUCUGGGUGCACCACCCGGCUCACUGCUCCCCUGGCAUCGUCACAGGCACGCACAUAAACCCGCUCACACCAAGCCCAUCAGAUGCAUAUUUCUGGAGCCCAACUUCAAACUCCCAAUCCAGCAGAUCUUGGCCUGCCUCAAACUCCGCAGGUGACACUGGCCUGCCUGUGCUCUGGCUCCAUGACUUUGUAAACAUUCUGAUGAGAUGUGGCUCUACCCGAAGUGGCAUGAUAGUGUGCGUGCUCCUCACUGUCAUCCGGCCUCUUUUGUCUUCCUCUGCCCUGACAGCACCCUCUGAGCUGCCUGUUGCACACACGUGCUCUCCUCAAUCCCAACAGCCCCUUCAGGUAAUGGGAUCAUCAGCAUUUCACAAAGGGAGCCAGGAGACUCAAGAAGGGAAGACACCCUGCGGUGGCUUUGGGGCCAGAGAGUGUCAAGCAGAGGCCAACACUGAGAUGUCACCCGAAGGCCAAGCUUGGCAAAGAGCUAAGAGGGGAACCAACCAGUGCCCCUAACACCCAGGCCUUUCCUGUCCCAGGCCAGUCAGUCAG